GAGCAACGCCAUCCACCGUCAGCGACAUCGUCAUGGGCGAUAACGGACAGUUUAAAAGCACGCACCGCUUGCUGCCACGCUAGUGGGGACGGAGGCACAAGUGGAAUGAAGGACUCACAGCGCAUCUUUUUUGUUGUGCAGAUUCCUGGCUGUUCGCCCCCAGUGUUUCCCAAGGAUCCACAUCUACUCAGCGGUGCACACUCAGCGAUCGAAGGUGGCAUGAAAAAGGUCAAAUGCAAACAGACAAACCAGAGAGAGGGUCGAGAAAGACCAAGUGUCUCAAGCAAGAGCAACGAAACAUUUGAACAAGGCGAUCUGCUCCGAGGCAGCAGUUCUACAGAGCCAAGGCCGGCUUACGGAUUAUUUCAGACCGCGAUAUUAUUGUGACCACGUCUCAUUCUCUGUCUACGGCCGCGGCAGAUUGCACUGUCUGUGGCAGCGACCUUCAAGUGAUGUUGAGUGUCGCUGAAUAAUCUUCGCCCAGGUACAGCCCUUGUGGAAAGUAUGAGAGCUGC